rnacentral:rRNA from 1 species
AAUGAACGCUGGCGGCAUGCCUUACACAUGCAAGUCGAACGGCAGCAUGACCUAGCUUGCUAGGUUGAUGGCGAGUGGCGAACGGGUGAGUAAUGCAUCGGAACGUGCCUUUUAGUGGGGGAUAACGUAGCGAAAGUUACGCUAAUACCGCAUAUUCUCUGAGGAGGAAAGCAGGGGGCCUUCGGGCCUUGCGCUAGAAGAGCGGCCGAUGUCGGAUUAGCUAGUUGGUGAGGUAAAGGCUCACCAAGGCAACGAUCCGUAGCGGGUCUGAGAGGAUGAUCCGCCACACUGGGACUGAGACACGGCCCAGACUCCUACGGGAGGCAGCAGUGGGGAAUUUUGGACAAUGGGCGCAAGCCUGAUCCAGCCAUGCCGCGUGAGUGAAGAAGGCCUACGGGUUGUAAAGCUCUUUCGGCUGGGAAGAAAUCGCACUCUCUAAUACAGGGUGUGGAUGACGGUACCAGCAUAAGAAGCACCGGCUAACUACGUG